rnacentral:sRNA from 1 species
AAGACAUGAUGUCUUAUUGUUUAAUUGGUUUGAAGGAUCUUGUUUUAGCUUUUCUGAAGAAGAGGGUAAAACAGUCUUGAGAAUUCAGUAUAAGUACUCAAUCCCAUAAGCUAUUAAAAAAGCCUUUAUCUUAUAAUGUCCAUCACUUAAUUGUGCCGAUCCCAUAAUUGAUCCAAAAUUUCUGACGUUUUUUGUUUAUAAAAUAUGUCCCCAAUUUUAUUUUACUUUUGUAAAAAGGCCUCCAAUUUUAUAACUUUCUAUAAAACUCUUAAAACGUAUUUAGGCCCCAAAUUUCAGGGUAGGCUAUGCAUGCAAUGAUUCGUUUUUUUGUAUAUUUUUAUACCAUAUAUUAGCUAUUCAAACACAUCUUAAAUA